GCGUGGAUCGUCCAAUUGGAGAGGACACCGCCGUCCGAAGGCUGAAAUCCCGGUUCGAACCCGGGUUCGCGCACCA
rnacentral:tRNA from 1 species